rnacentral:rRNA from 1 species
AUUGAACGCUGGCGGCAUGCCUUACACAUGCAAGUCGAACGGUAACAGGUCUUCGGAUGCUGACGAGUGGCGAACGGGUGAGUAAUACAUCGGAACGUGCCUAGUAGUGGGGGAUAACUACUCGAAAGAGUGGCUAAUACCGCAUGAGAUCUACGGAUGAAAGCAGGGGAUCGCAAGACCUUGUGCUACUAGAGCGGCCGAUGGCAGAUUAGGUAGUUGGUGGGAUAAAAGCUUACCAAGCCGACGAUCUGUAGCUGGUCUGAGAGGACGAUCAGCCACAAUGGGACUGAGACACGGCCCAGACUCCUACGGGAGGCAGCAGUGGGGAAUUUUGGACAAUGGGCGCAAGCCUGAUCCAGCAAUGCCGCGUGCAGGAUGAAGGCCUUCGGGUUGUAAACUGCUUUUGUACGGAACGAAAAGCCCUGGAUUAAUACCCUGGGGUCAUGACGGUACCGUAAGAAUAAGCACCGGCUAACUACGUGCCAGCAGCCGCCGUAACAC